rnacentral:lncRNA from 1 species
AAUGGCACAUCAUACGAGUUUUUAUUGAUAUUUUCAUACUUAUUUUUCCUUUUACCAUGUCCCAUAGCCUAGAGCAAAAUGUAACUACAGCGGAAAAGUAAAAAGAAUUAGCAAAUUAAGAGGGAUCUACAGGUUUCAUAUUAACAGAACAGUAAAACAUUUUCUUGGCAUGUAGUACAGUGAAUCCAUUCAGUUUUCUCAUUCAGGAGGGAAAGGAAUAGCAUCUUCUCAGAGGUGGAGUAUGAUGACAAUUUGCACAAAACCAACCAUGAGGUUUUUCUCUUGGUGUCAAUCAUUCAUUAUUUCGCUAAAAUAUUGAUAAGCGGUGGUCUGACAUUUUGCUUAAAUUAAAAAACUAACUUUGAAGAAACACUCAGUUAUAAUCCACCAGAAAUACCCAAAGAUGUAGGACCGUGGUCCCAGCUCCCCAGAUGCUCACCACCUGGUGGAGGUGGAGGGGAUGCACACACUACUGACCAUGACACAGGCAGACAAUAGAAGGGGCUUCCAUAGCAACAGUAUUUCCAGAAAUAAUUUUGCCUUCUAGCAUCAGGAGCCACUGCACUUGAAUAAGUCAUAGGAGGAAAAGGUUUUCACCAGGCAAUGGUACAUAAAGAGGACUUUCGAGUCAAAGGGAACAAGAUGAGAAAAGGCAUGGAGGUCCAGCAAAAUGGGCUGAUUUGGAUAAAUUGGGAUGUAAGAAUAUAAAUGAGAUGGAUCUGAGAAUCAGGGAUGGCAACAGGAGAUAAAGAUCCUUACACUUGCUUCUAGGAGUCUAAAAUCAUCUAUGGGCCAAUGAUGAAUUUUAGGGGGGAAAAAGCAAUGAAUAUGGUUUCCUGGGAUGAAGCAGAGGUUGGACUUAAAAGGAUGAGGUGCAGGAUGGAGGGUGGUCAGGGAUGUUAGAAGAAUUAAGGACAGGCAGAGAUCAGGGUGACAGCAGGGCAUCUGCAGAAGGUGAUACUUGAUAAAAAGGGAAAAAAGGACAGAACUUUCACUUUCCAACCUGUCAUGCCAAAGUAGUGCCCUGUUUUUCUCCUUGCUGAAAUAAUGGCUUCAGAUAGAUCUUGUCAUAUUUGUGUCACAAUGACUUCACUAAAUUAAUACCUAUGCAAGGAAAACUAACUUUGCUUAAAAGAACAGGAUGGACUGAAGAAAGGGUUCACCAAAGGUGACGGAACCAAAGGUGAUGGAACCAAAACAGAUGAUGAGUCUUCCUUUUCUUGUCACCGCUCUUCCGCAUCUCCCUUCCACAAAACACGUCUUCCGUUCCUCUUUGAGUGCAGACCCAAGCCCUUGACGUGGUUGGCCUACAGGAUGCUGGAAGGCUUGCCCUCAUUUCUCAAGCUCUGUCACCUUGCCCCUUGCUCUCAUCUCCAGCAUCACUGGUCUACCUUCAGUCUUUCAAAAUAGCUGAUUCCUCCUCCAUGAACUUACCAAACACUUUGCUUUGUUAUUUGCAAACAUGAACUCACCCCUUAGCUCCUGUUCAGAUGACUUGUGCAGAGCAUUCAGCAUUCAUCCUGGCUGCCCCACCUCCUUGCCAGGGUCUUUGGAGAUAAUCUCAUAGAACUACAUUCUCUCCUUGGAAGCAACUCUUGCGUAUUGUGACUGCACACUCGCUGGUGAUGUUAUUUAGGCUAAACCCCAUGGAAAGAGGGCUUUUUCUAGUUAGCACUCUAUCCCCACAAGUUAUAUGUUCAAUAAACCUUUUGAAUCAAGAGUAAUGAAUGGGUAAAAAAAAAAAUAAAGUAUCGAGGAAGAGGUCUCCCAUUCCCAUCCGUUUCACCUUGCCUUUGGGAAAUUCUCCCGUACCCAACAUCCCUCUACCAUGUUAAACUAAGAAGCACUGACUCCUGGUCCUGACCAAGGCUGGGCUGUGUUACAAGAGACACUGAGAGCUGUCACUGGUCGCUGUCUCUGCCAUCCAGAAGAAACAGUGCCAGCUUCAGGAUGCCAUUUUUUUUUUUUUUUUUUGGAUUCUGGGCUUCCCUCGGAGGAAGGAGGAAAGGCAUUUGCUGGUUCAUCCUACCGUGGUAGAAAGUUUAUUUAUUAGAGACCACGUCUACCCAAUAGCACUUAGACCUCUGUGAUACUGUCUCAGUCUAACCUAACGACACAGGCUCUGCGAGAAUCCGUUGCUCUUUCCUACUGCACUUGGCUCCUGCCAUUGACCACACAGCUUUUCAAAAACUCUGACAUUCUGGUUUCCAAAAUUCACUUGGAACUCCAUCAGAGCCCUCCCUUCCAGCGGUUCCAACCCUCAGUUUGAGAAUUAAGGCAUGAAACACAUGGAAAUACAAUGUUCCAAUCCAUCUAAUUAAUGCAUUAAGUCCCUCAUUUGCAUAGUACAAAUUUCCCUUUAUGCUUUCAGUUGCUUGGCAAUUGCUUGCCUCAAGAAAAUAUAUUAGCAGUUAAAAUGCGGCUUAAUAAUAAGAGAAACAAAGACAUCAGCCCUAUUUCAAAAAGCGUAUUUCAGAAAGGAAAGGGGGAAAAAAAAAUCUAUGUAGGACUUCAAAUCCUAUAAAGUAGCUGAAUCACCCGAUUUUGAAAAAAUAAUUUAACCACAGGAAGUAAAGUAACAUCCAUUACUCUGGCAGGCUAGAGGAGCCUCCAUGCAAGUCUGCACAGCAGAUGCUACCCACAAAGCUAUGUAGCAUUCUCCCCAAACAUAUCUUCAUUGUAAAGGGCACAGAGACUGGAAGCCCCUUCCGACUUUACCAGGAAAGAGGACAAAGUAGAUUUAACUCCAAAAUUACACCAGCCUAGGAGCGGCGCUCCCAUUAGAACUGAAAUUCUCCCAAAUGGGGGUAAGAUCUUGAGCCAAACUUAACAUGAACAAAGCACUAUAAACCAUCCUGAAUCACUGGAAAGAGGCAGAUGGAGGGGCAACUUUGAUCCUAAAUUAAUCCCAGCUUGCGUUGGAAAGCCAUGUGCUGAAAGCCACGUGCUCCGCAGGCGGCCAGGGAGGGGCAUGGCUCCGUCGGCUCCACUGCACUGCGCAUGCGCCUCAGGACAGCCUGCGUUUGAACAGGCGAGCGGGUGUCCUCUGCUUGGAGCCAAUGCAAUCUUGCUGUGUAGCACUGGGAACUAUACCUUGUCACUUAUGAUGGAGCAUGAUAAUGCAAGAAAAAAACCAAACAUGUAUGUGUAACUGGGUCACCAUGUUGUACAGUAGAAAAUUGACAGAACACUGUAAACCAGCUAUAAUGAAAAAAAAAAAAAAAA